rnacentral:rRNA from 1 species
GACUUUCUGAACGUUGACCUCGGAUCAGGUAGGACUACCCGCUGAAAUUAAGCAUAUCAAUAAGCGGAGGAAAAGAAACCAACAGGGAUUGCCCCAGUAACGGCGAGUGAAGCGGCAACAGCUCAAAUUUGAAAUCUGGCCCCCAGGGCCCGAGUUGUAAUUUGUAGAGGAUGCUUUUGGCGCGGUGCCUUCCGAGUUCCCUGGAACGGGACGCCAUAGAGGGUGAGAGCCCCGUCUGGUCGGACACCAAGCCUCUGUAAAGCUCCUUCGACGAGUCGAGUAGUUUGGGAAUGCUGCUCAAAAUGGGAGGUAUAUGUCUUCUAAAGCUAAAUAUUGGCCAGAGACCGAUAGCGCACAAGUAGAGUGAUCGAAAGAUGAAAAGCACUUUGAAAAGAGGGUUAAACAGUACGUGAAAUUGUUGAAAGGGAAGCGCCUGUGACCAGACUUGGGCCCGGUGAAUCACCCAGCGUUCUCGCUGGUGCACUUUGCCGGGCACAGGCCAGCAUCAGUUUGGCGCGGGGGACAAAGGCUGUGGGAAUGUGGCUCCCCCGGGAGUGUUAUAGCCCACUGCGCAAUACCCUGCGCCGGACUGAGGUACGCGCUCCGCAAGGAUGCUGGCGUAAUGGUCAUCAGCGACCCGUCUUGAAACACGGACCAAGGAGUCGUCUUCGUAUGCGAGUGUUCGGGUGUCAAACCCCUACGCGUAAUGAAAGUGAACGCAGGUGAGAGCUUCGGCGCAUCAUCGACCGAUCCUGAUGUUCUCGGAUGGAUUUGAGUAAGAGCAUACGGGGCCGGACCCGAAAGAAGGUGAACUAUGCCUGUAUAGGGUGAAGCCAGAGGAAACUCUGGUGGAGGCUCGCAGCGGUUCUGACGUGCGAAUCGAUCGUCAAAUAUGGGCAUGGGGGCGAAAGACUAAUCGAACCUUCUAGUAGCUGGUUUCCGCCGAAGUUUCCCUCAGGAUAGCAGUGUUGGACUCAGUUUUAUGAGGUAAAGCGAAUGAUUAGGGACUCGGGGGCGCUAUAUUGCCUUCAUCCAUUCUCAAACUUUAAA